rnacentral:lncRNA from 1 species
CAGCUGCAAUAAAUCAUAUCAGUUUGUAAAAGUUACACUCUACCAGCAUCGUUGGGACACAUGUCAGCAAUCAUGUAAGAAGCAAUAGAAAAACAAAUUGGGAAUUUUUUUGUAUAAUCCCCUCACCCUAUGAAUUUACGACAGAUACUUAAAUAUCAAUAUCUCAAAAAGAGAAAACGUUUAAUGAAUAUUUCUACAAUAGAACUGGUCAAACUCUCCAAGGUAAGAACAUCUUGAAUCACCUGAUGAGAACUCUAGUACCUGCAAACAAAUCAAUAUGAAACUGAAAGAGUGUUGCAAGUGAAAUUGUGAAGUUAUGUCCAUCACCACAGCUUGAUCACUAAAUAAGAAAAUCAUUCAUUAUUUUUCAAACUGCAAAUGAGAAGGAAGUAAGAGAUAAAGAUGCUAACUGAUCAUGCUAUGCUAGCUUUAGAUUAUUGACUUCACCAUUGACCCGCUACUUAAGUUUAAAAUUAUGGAUUCGGAUUGAUUCCAAUGUGAAUACUACAAUUUUAAAAAACAGCCACGUUGUAGAAGUUAUUUCAUGCUGAUGUUCAACAAAUCAACAUGGAGGACAUCAUAAAACUACAGAUGACUCAAAUUGUGAACUGAAUUCAUAAUCAAAUUAAAUAAAUAUAAUUCGUGGGAAUGUUUGUAGCAAUAAAACAUAUGUCAGAAUGCAUCUAGCAUUACCUUCAGAAAAAUUAUAGCUUUCAUCUAAAAAGUCAAUAUAUAAUUCAAUUUUCAUGUACUUGUUUCAUUAAUGAAGAUCAAGAUACCCAACAAGAUAUUUUGUGAUAAUCGAAUAAAAAUUUAGCAUCUACAAACAUGAACAAAAUUAACAAAAUACUUAAACCACAUCUCAAUUCUCUCACCUUGCUAGGCUUUAUCCAGAAACCAACUUUAAAAUAAUGCAGAUGGAGUUGAGAAUUAUAAGAGGAACUCUUAGGUACUGAAUCGCAUAUAUGAGACCUAAAACCUGGCCCUUGAAAGUUUUUGUCCUGUUGCCGGAAAAAUCUGAUAAGCCCCAUCCUCUAGGUGCAAGAAAGCGGUCAUCAUUUAGUAUUGCCAGUGAAUUUGCAAGCAGCAGGAACCCCUCAACUAAUGUCCACAAACCCAUUUCCCUGCAUUGCGAGGAAACCCAACCCAAGUCAAAUAAGUUCAAGUCAUUUUCCCUUUCUCUUUCAUAUACAGUUCAACUAUUAACAUUAGUAGAGAACAACAGAUGACUAUGACAAGUCAUAAGAAGCUUCCUCAUGAAAGGCUGGUGUUGAUCACCGCUGAAGCCCCUCCUCAUAAAUCAUCUCAGUAUAGGGGUCACAAUAAGUUCUUAAAAGCAAGGCAGGCUUAAUUUGAAUUCAUCAAACCAAAUACAGUUCUUUGAUAUUCUUUAAAUUAAAACAUUACUAAUGAAUUAUUGCAUAUACGAAGAGUAUUUGAUGCUUUACAGAUCACAUAAAACUAUGCACUGGCUACUCAGAAUGAAGAUCAAGUUCAUUUAAGAGCAUCUACUGCUAUAUGCACAAAUAAAAUCAUGGGAAUUGUAAAAUUAGGUUCCCAAGAAGAUCUGUGUGCAGUUUCCUUUCUCAGGGCUAAACAUUAUAUAAAGAUAAUAGAAAACAAACCACAUGGAGUUAGAGAACAAGGAUAGAGAUGUGACUAAAUGAAUGGAGACAAUCUAGAAAUCAACUUAAGUUCAAAAUUAAAACAAUAAAAUUGUUAGAGGAAAAUAAAAUCCUCUAAUUUGUUUUAGAAAACUCUCAUUGACAAGCGCUUAGUUAAACUAUUCACUCCAGCUGCAAUAAAUCAUAUCAGUUUGUAAAAGUUACACUCUACCAGCAUCGUUGGGACACAUGUCAGCAAUCAUGUAAGAAGCAAUAGAAAAACAAAUUGGGAAUUUUUUUGUAUAAUCCCCUCACCCUAUGAAUUUACGACAGAUACUUAAAUAUCAAUAUCUCAAAAAGAGAAAACGUUUAAUGAAUAUUUCUACAAUAGAACUGGUCAAACUCUCCAAGGUAAGAACAUCUUGAAUCACCUGAUGAGAACUCUAGUACCUGCAAACAAAUCAAUAUGAAACUGAAAGAGUGUUGCAAGUGAAAUUGUGAAGUUAUGUCCAUCACCACAGCUUGAUCACUAAAUAAGAAAAUCAUUCAUUAUUUUUCAAACUGCAAAUGAGAAGGAAGUAAGAG